GGUUGUGGCUCAGCGGUAGAGCGUUCGCCUAGCAUGUGCGAGGCCCUGGGUUCAAUCUUCAGCACCA
rnacentral:tRNA from 1 species